rfam:Peptostreptococcus stomatis DSM 17678 contig00009, whole genome shotgun sequence.
CCCUUUCACUUAGCGCCAGACUGUAGAAAUACAGUUAACGAGGACAGGGUUAUCGAAAAUUCGGCGGAUGCCCUGCGGUGAACUAGCAUCGAUAGAAAAUUUAUAAAAAGCAGGAGUGAUCCUGUAACAGAGGACUUUUUCGUCUAGUAC